UACGUAGGGUGCGAGCGUUAAUCGGAAUUACUGGGCGUAAAGCGUGCGCAGGCGGUUUUGUAAGCCAGAUGUGAAAUCCCCGGGCUUAACCUGGGAAUGGCAUUUGGGACUGCAAGGCUGGAGUGCGGCAGAGGAGACGGGAAUUCCUGGUGUAGCAGUGAAAUGCGUAGAUAUCAGGAGGAAUACCGAUGGCGAAGGCAGGUCUCUGGGCUGACACUGACGCUCAUGCACGAAAGCGUGGGGAGCAAACAGG
rnacentral:rRNA from 1 species